AGUGAACGCUGGCGGUAGGCCUAACACAUGCAAGUCGAACGGCAGCACAGUAAGAGCUUGCUCUUACGGGUGGCGAGUGGCGGACGGGUGAGGAAUACAUCGGAAUCUACUUUUUCGUGGGGGAUAACGUAGGGAAACUUACGCUAAUACCGCAUACGACCUACGGGUGAAAGCAGGAGAUCUUCGGACCUUGCGCGAUUGAAUGAGCCGAUGUCGGAUUAGCUAGUUGGCGGGGUAAGGGCCCACCAAGGCGACGAUCCGUAGCUGGUCUGAGAGGAUGAUCAGCCACACUGGAACUGAGACACGGUCCAGACUCCUACGGGAGGCAGCAGUGGGGAAUAUUCGACAAUGGGCGCAAGCCUGAUCCAGCCAUACCGCGUGGGUGAAGAAGGCCUUCGGGUUGUAAAGCCCUUUUGUUGGGAAAGAAAAGCAGCAGGUUAAUCCCCCGCUGUUCUGACGGUACCCAAAGAAUAAGCACCGGCUAACUUCGUG
rnacentral:rRNA from 1 species